AUAAUAAUAAGUAAAUCUGCUCAUGAUAAAUUCAAUAGCCGCAUAUGUGCUAAGGUAGCAUAAUCAUUUGUACUUUUAAUUAAAGACUAGAAUAAAAGAUUUAACAUUUAAAUUAAUAUUUUAAAUUUAUAUAAUUUAAAUUACUUUAAAUGUAAAAAUACAUUUAUAUAAAAGAAAGACGAUAAGACCCUAUUAAACUUUACUUUAGAUUAACUGGGGUAGUUAAUUAAUUAUUAUUUUAAUUUUUAUAAAGUAAAAAUUUGAUCUAAUAAAAUUAAUUUCAUAAUCAAGUUACUAUAGGGAUAACAGCGUAAUAAAAUUUUUAAGAUCUUAAUUAAAAUAAAGAUUGCGACCUCGAUGUUGAUUUAAUAUCCUAAUUUACGCAAUAGUAAAUUAAGGAAGUCUGUUCGACUUUUAAAAAAUU
rnacentral:rRNA from 1 species